rnacentral:hammerhead_ribozyme from 1 species
AUCCAGUUGACGAGUCCCAGUUAGGACGGAACGCGCGUCCAGUAU